rnacentral:rRNA from 1 species
GAUGAACGCUGGCGGCGUGCUUAACACAUGCAAGUCGAACGAUGAAGCCCAGCUUGCUGGGUGGAUUAGUGGCGAACGGGUGAGUAACACGUGAGUAACCUGCCCUUGACUCUGGGAUAAGCCCGGGAAACUGGGUCUAAUACCGGAUAGGAGCGCCUGUCGCAUGACGGGUGUUGGAAAGAUUUUUCGGUCAUGGAUGGACUCGCGGCCUAUCAGCUUGUUGGUGAGGUAAUGGCUCACCAAGGCGACGACGGGUAGCCGGCCUGAGAGGGCGACCGGCCACACUGGGACUGAGACACGGCCCAGACUCCUACGGGAGGCAGCAGUGGGGAAUAUUGCACAAUGGGCGGAAGCCUGAUGCAGCGACGCCGCGUGAGGGAUGACGGCCUUCGGGUUGUAAACCUCUUUCAGUAGGGAAGAAGCGAAA